rnacentral:miRNA from 1 species
UACGCGUUGGUCGUGAUUGA